GGCCUGGUGGUCUAGUAGUAUGAUUCCUUCUUAGGGCGUCAAGCAAUUUGGAGGAGGUCCCGGGUUCAAUUCCCGGCCAGGCCC